rnacentral:lncRNA from 1 species
GUUAAACACAAAAGAAAAUAUUAUGAAGAAUAUUGGAAUCCAAACAGCUGACGGUAGCCAUUGACUUCCAUAGUAUGGAAACAAAUACAAUAGAAGUCAAUGGCUACCGUCAACAUUCUUCGAAAUGUCUUCUUUUGUGUUCAGCAGAGGAAAGAAAUGCACACAGGUGGCGAAGAGUAAAUGAUGGCAGAUUAUAUUAUGUGUGUUAUGUUUAUGAAAAUAAUUCUUGGUUAUGCGAACUUUAAGAGAACGUUCCAUUUUAUCAUUUUGCAGACAUUAUGAGAACGGUACUUUUGAAUGCUCUCUGAACAUUCUGAAAGAAUUAGUUACAUUUAACAAAUGUUAGACAAACUUAAAUCUCUCAACAUUCCAAAAAUAUAUAAAUAAUGUUUUUGUGCUAACGCUAUGAGAGCAUUAUUAAAGAUCAGAUAACUUUAAAUGAAUUUUCUAUUAAUGUUACUGGAGGUUUGUUUGCUGGGAUAUAUUGAGAUUAUUGACUGCUCUCUCUCUCAUCUGUUUCAGGGCCGUUAAUGUCUUCCUUACUCACUAAUGUCUUUCUCUCGGUGUGAACAGAUCCCCGGGGAGACGACACGCAAGCCUGCGGACAAUCCUCGCGGUCCAUCAAUGGGUCUCUGGGGUCUCUGGGAGUCUCUGACGUGCUCAAGUGCAGCUUUCUCCAGCAGCUACGGAGACGUUCUUCAGAUUCAUACUGUAGUCUUGAGCGUGCGUUGCAUCAUUCUGUGCUGCUGAACUGAAUACCCACAAUCCUUCAAGGCACAAGAUUGGGCCCAAACAGAAACGGAGAGUAACGUUUGUGAAAGCUGCAUCAGUGUUCAAUAUUCAUAGAACUAGCACAAAAAGUUCUACUAAGUGGAGAAAUCAUGUAGAACUUCCUUCACAGAGGAACAGAAGCUCCUGUCCUUCCUCUCAUCUGUUCAUCUCCACAGGUUUAUUAACUGAAGGAGUGUGAGAGAAUUGCAUGUUGAUAUAGUAAACACACACACACACACACACACACACACACACUUUUCUCUGCUUAAGUGAUUCUGUUCUCUUUAUAACCUCCAGUGACGCGUCUGUUGUAAAUGUAGUGCUGGAGAUGAAAACAGUCAAAAUAAAUAUAAUAAAUAAUAAAUAAUGUUAAUAAAAAAAAUUUAAAUAUCUUUCAUUUCAGUUAACAUUUAUUUAAAGAUUUUUUUUUAUUGUUUUAGUUUUUUUUUUAUUUUUUAAGAAAGAUGUAUAUAUUAGAGUACUUCAAGUUAAAUAAAUGGAAAAAUGGAACGGUUGCCUUGACAACAAGCUCAAAUAAAAUAAGUUAGAGGGUUUUAUAUUUCAGCUAACACUAAUUAAGAUAAUGCAUUUUUAUGGUUUUAGUUUUUUGUAGGUUUUCUUAGUUUUUUUUUUUUUUGUUUUAGUAUUUGUUUUUAUUUUAAGUUUUUAAUAGUUGUUAAGUACUUCAAGUUAAAUAAAUGGAAAAAUGGAACGGUUGCCUUGACAACAAGCUCAAAUAAAAUAAGUUAGAGGGUUUUAUAUUUCAGCUAACACUAAUUAAGAUAAUGCAUUUUUAUGGUUUUAGUUUUUUGUAGGUUUUCUUAGUUUUUUUUUUUUUUGUAUGUUUUUAUUAGUUUUUAAUAUGUUGAUUAUUUUUAUUUAUUAGUUGUAAUUUAUUUGAUCGUAGUUAUUUUAGUGCUUCAACCAAACAAAAAUGAGAAAUGUUGCUUUGGCAGCUUUAACAUUAAUUUCAAGCAUAAUUUUUUAAUGUAUAUACUGAAUUUUUUUAAAACAUUAUUUUAUUAGUUUUUAGUUAUUUUAGUACUUCAAGCUAAUCUAAACAAAAAUUAGAAAUGUUGCCUUGGCAAAUAGCUUGAAAUAAAAGUACAUAAAAAAAAGUGACUUUAUUUCAGUAAACAUUCAUUUUAUGUUUUUGUAUGGUUUUAGUUUUAGUUAAUUAAUAACCCUAGUGUGUCGGUGUUUAUCAUGAAGUCAGACAGCUGGAAGGCUUUAGUCACACUUUCGUUUCAUAACAUUAAUCUCUCUCACACACAAUGGCUUGUAUUUUGUGUGUGUACCCGCAGUAGUGUGUGUGUGUGUGUGUGUGUGUGUUAAUAACUCCAGCCACUGCAACAUCAGCACUCACGAUACUGAAAGAAACGCUUAUCAGUGGAGCACAAACACACACGCGCUCUUCUGUAUGUGUGUGUAAAGUGCUCUUUGUUUCAGGCCUCUCGUGUUCCAUUAGUGUUGCCAUUGUUUCUGCUAAAUGAAAGCUGCUCGUGCACCAGGGACACUCGCACACUAACUAGUGCUCCCUGGAUAUCUCAUCUCAACAUGUUAAUUGAGCCGAAUGUGCUCAUGCACUUGUUUUUCAGGAGUGACCGUGAUAAUGAGGGCCGGCCGCUGGGUUUGUACUGUCAUCGUAUAAAAACAUCAUUUAAAAUAACCUCGCUGGACAUCACUAAUGACUUUUAUUGAAUGCAGCAGAGCCGUUUGAGCUGUUGAAGGUGAAGUGUGUCGGUCCUGAGCCGCUCGUAUGAUUGAGACGCUGUUGUUUUGUCCAGCUGAAAGUCAGCCCAUAUUCAUAACACCCUCGAGCUGUUUGCAUUCAUUCAUACAAAUACAGCUCAUAAAUGCCUGAAUGGGGAAAGACUGAAAUAUAUGUUUGUACAAAUUACAUUUCAGUGAUUGGUGGGACUCUCAUUCAUACACUGAAAAAUUGGUGUAGGAUUUAAUUUCUUAAAAAAGGUUCACCCAGUAAUUUCUAGUAAAUUUCACAAAUGUGUCCCUGCAGCACAGAAGCAGUCAUCAGUAGCACAGGUGUAUUUGUUGCAAUAGACAACAAUACAUUGUAUGAGUCACAAUUAUACAUUUUUCUUUUAUGCCAAAAAUCAUUAGGAUAUUAAGUAAGUGUUCUCUAUUGAUUAUAAAACACAUUCAGCUGUAGAUGCACAAAUAUGCAAAUUCUUCAACAGGGAGUUUUGUUUUAUAUAUAUUUUGUAUAUCUAAAUUAAAUAAAAAUUGUUAUCCAAAACCUGCUGUCGCCCAUGAGAACAGUGACCUGAGUUUGGAGAAAAGUGUCAAAUCGAUUGAGUAAAACUGUAAUGAAAAAUAAUAUACAAGGCCUUUACAUAAACGCAAGACUCUGGCCAAUAUUUAUAAAUAUAUUAAAAAAAAGU